rnacentral:lncRNA from 1 species
GUCAGGGUUGCUCUGGGUAAAAGCCUGUGAGCCUAAGAGCUAAUCCUGUACAUGGCUCCUUUACCUGCACACUGGGGAUUUGACCUCUAUCUCCACUCUCAUUAAUAUGGGUGGCCUAUUGCUCUUAUUAAAAGAAAAAGGGGGAACUGUGGGAAGCCGCACUCACAUUUGCCAUUAUAAGAUGGCGCUGACAGCUGUGUUCUA